GAGAAGAUGGCUGAGAGGUUGAAAGCGGUAGACUGUAAAUCUAUUUUUCUAUUGAAAUUCAUAGGUUCAAAUCCUAUUCUUCUUC
rnacentral:tRNA from 1 species